ensembl:lncRNA
AAUGUUUACAUGAAUUCUGAUUAUUUCUAGAGUUACAUUACUUAACAUCCUGAAAUAUAUGUAGAUAUAUUUGUUAGAAAGAAUAAUAGAUUUCCCUUGAAGGAGUGAUACUGAAUGUAAAAAAUGGCUCAACUUACCCCACUCUGCCCUACAGACAUACAUAGUUUAUCAUGCACGCAACUAUACCCACACAUCUCUGGUGUACAUACUCACGCCACCAAGACAACAUUCCUGGACUCAUACACACAAGGUAACCCUGAAUCCCUCUCUGGUUGUCAGACAUCUCCCACACGCGUGGUCCUCUGGAUGGCAGCCUGUACGCCCAGGUGAAGAAGCAUCGAGGCCGGGGUUCUCCCAAUGCAUGCUCCACAGGCAACCCCACAGCCAAGCCCCCUCCACCGGCCCAGCCUCAAUCUCAACCUCAGCCCCUGUCGCUCAGCUCCGACUCGGGACGCUCCUCCACCCCCUCCGAACACAUGGAGGACCCCCCUCCUUGCCCCCUAUCCCGCCUGGAGAAUGAGAAGGAGGUGGUGGACUGUCUACUGCGGAGGGGGGAGGGUGGAGAGAGAGACAGGGCAAUGCAGAGGGAGAGGGACCGAGAAACUGCAAUUUUGGAUGAUGGAGACUCUGUUCCAGAAGGAGGGCUGAGGCGGGAGCAGUGGUCAUGCCACGGUCGAAGAUGUCAGAAGUGUGGGGAGGCAUCGGGUUGGGAGAGGGAGCCGUGCUUUGCUAACGGACAUUGUAUGACCCGCUAUAACAGCAGCACCAAGGGGAACCUAAAGAGCCAAGCAUUAUCCGCCUUACCCUCCCAGCAGCCGGUGUCUCCUUGCCCCCUGGAGCCCCAUCUGGACAUGUGCCAUCGCCAUAGUGCCCAUCCCCUGCCCAAUUUGCCAUGGGAAUGUCCCCCGCCCCCUUUACCCUGUCUCCAUCGGCCAUGCUACCCCUACCCCGCCCCUGAACACGCCCCCCCAAAUUCCCACACCAUCCCGGUCUCCAAUAGGCUCUUCUGCGGUGGAGAGGAGUGUCGGGUCUUUCAUUACCCCGCCACCCGCCCUGCCCCACCUCGCGUCUUCCACCAAUCCCUGCCCUCCAGCCCACAUAGGGAGAUGUUUUUCAGCCCAGCGGCUCCUCCUCGCUCUGAUGGCUGCCCAUGCCGAGACUGCACCUGCAGGCAAGAGCACCAAUCGGCUUCAGCCAGAGCCUUCCACCCGCUGUGCCCGGACCAACCAGAGAGCCUGCACUGGCCCCGAGGGCAGGACUCUGAGCUGUGGGACAGGGAUGCGGGGCUGAGGCGGGGGAGGGAGGGGCCUUCUCAGCUAUGGGAGCCAGAUAAUUUGUGGGAGGCGGAGAGAGAGGCCGAGUUUUGGCAACGGAGGUCAGUGAGAGGGAUGUCACCCUAUAUAGGCUGUCACUCCCCCCUGGGUCAGGGUCCCGGGUACCCCAGCCCCCAACCCCUCCUGGACAACCCUGGUGGCAGCAGUGGGUACAACACACCCCUACCCCCCUGCCACUCCUGCCCUUGCUCUCCCUACCAGCAGGACUCCCCCUCGGGGAGACACGGGAGCCCGAGGUAUGCCUCGGGGUACCAGUCUGGGUCCACCUUACCCCUGCCCCCUGGUAGCCCAAACCCUGGUGACUCCCAAUUGGAACCACCCACCGACCUGCAGCAAAAGACUGACACUUGUGCAUCAUAUGUGGUGCAAAACAGUGUGAGUAUGGAGGACUCUUCUUCCCAGGGGUCGCUGGGGCAAAGGUUAGUAUUGGGAGAGUGGGAGCGGUGUUUGCUUUAGGUUUGUGUUUUCAGUGUGAAUUGUGUGACACAUAGUGGUGAAGAGAACUCUGGAAAAGGAUAUGUAAUCUUUUUCAGCAUCAGACCUGCCUAAUUCUCACUUUAAACAUUGUUUUUGUGUUUAAUAAGCUAAAUUACACAUUCUGUUAACAUAUGACUCCAAAGUGAACUGUUCUUGCAAUUUGUAGUCUAUGACAUUUCAGAUUUACAUAUAUUCUUUUUACAAAGUAGUUUGGAUGUAGUGAACUACUUUUUCAAACUUUAGUUAUGUAAACUUCUUCCAGUGUGAAGUAAUUGGUAGCUUGGUAAACUACACUGCUCAAAAAAAUAAAGGGAACACAAAAAUAACACAUCCUAGAUCUGAAUGAAUGAAAUAUUCUUAUUAAAUACUUUUUUCUUUACAUAGUUGAAUGUGCUGACAACAAAAUCACACAAAAAUUAUCAAUGGAAAUCAAAUUGAUUGGAUUUGGAGUCACACUCAAAAUUAAAGUGGAAAACCACACUACAGGCUGAUCCAACUUUGAUGUAAUGUCCUUAAAACAAGUCAAAAUGAGGCUCAGUAGUGUGUGUGGCCUCCACGUGCCUGUAUGACCUCCCUACAACGCCUGGGCAUGCUCUUGAUGAGGUGGCGGAUGGUCUCCUGAGGGAUCUCCUCCCAGACCUGGACUAAAGCAUCCGCCAACUCCUGGACAGUCUGUGGUGCAACGUGGCGCUG